GACGAACGCUGGCGGCGUGCUUAACACAUGCAAGUCGAACGGAAAGGCCCUGCUUUUGUGGGGUGCUCGUGUGGCGAACGGGUGAGUAACACGUGAGUAACCUGCCCUUGUCUUUGGGAUAACUUCAGGAAACUGGGGCUAAUACCGGAUCGGAGCUCCUGCUGCCUGGUUGGGGUUGGUAAGUUUAGUCGGUUGGGGAUGGACUCGCGGCUUAUCAGCUUUUUGGUGGGGUAGUGGCUUACCAAGGCUUUGACGGGUAGCCGGCCUGAGAGGGUGACCGGCAAGAUUGGGACUGAGAGAAGGACCAGACUGCAACGGGAGGCAGCAGUGGGGAAUAUUGAACAAGGGGAGGAAGCGUGAUGGAGCAACGCGGCGUGCGGGAUGAAGGCAUUCGGGGUGUAAACAGCUUUGGCCUGUGACGAAGCGGGAGUGACGGUAAUGGGUAAAGAAGCACCGGCUAACUACGUG
rnacentral:rRNA from 1 species